rnacentral:rRNA from 1 species
GGUGUUGCGGAAGGAUCAUUACCGAGUUUUCGGGCUUCGGCUCGACUCUCCCACCCUUUGUGAACGUACCUCUGUUGCUUUGGCGGCUCCGGCCGCCAAAGGACCUCCAAACUCCAGUCAGUAAACGCAGACGUCUGAUAAACAAGUUAAUAAACUAAAACUUUCAACAACGGAUCUCUUGGUUCUGGCAUCGAUGAAGAACGCAGCGAAAUGCGAUAAGUAAUGUGAAUUGCAGAAUUCAGUGAAUCAUCGAAUCUUUGAACGCACAUUGCGCCCCUUGGUAUUCCGGGGGGCAUGCCUGUUCGAGCGUCAUUACAACCCUCAAGCUCUGCUUGGAAUUGGGCACCGUCCUCACUGCGGACGCGCCUCAAAGACCUCGGCGGUGGCUGUUCAGCCCUCAAGCGUAGUAGAAUACACCUCGCUUUGGAGUGGUUGGCGUCGCCCGCCGGACGAACCUUCUGAACUUUUCUCAAGGUUGACCUCGGAUCAGGUAGGGAUACCCGCUGA